rnacentral:rRNA from 1 species
AUGGCCCACAUAUCAGAUAUUAAACUGAUAAGAACAGAUACUACACUUGAUCUUAGCCAAAAGGCCGAGAAAGGUAUGAGUUGUAGUGUCCCUCUCCCCCUCCUCUUAUAGCUUUGUCCACCGUCUCUCCGCUCUCGACCAGCGAGGUGGUACUAA